UACGUAGGGGGCUAGCGUUGUCCGGAAUCAUUGGGCGUAAAGCGCGUGUAGGCGGUCCGGUAAGUCCGCUGUGAAAGUCGGGGGCUCAACCCUGGAAUGCCGGUGGAUACUGUCGGGCUAGAGUCCGGAAGGGGCGAGUGGAAUUCCUGGUGUAGCGGUGAAAUGCGCAGAUAUCAGGAGGAACACCAAUGGCGAGGGCAGCUCGCUGGGACGUGACUGACGCUGAGACGCGAAAGCGUGGGGAGCAAACAGG
rnacentral:rRNA from 1 species